rnacentral:rRNA from 1 species
GGAAGGGGUGUAUUUAUUAGAUAAAAAACCAAUGCCCCUCGGGGCUCCUUGGUGAAUCAUAAUAACUUAACGAAUCGCAUGGCCUUGCGCCGGCGAUGGUUCAUUCAAAUUUCUGCCCUAUCAACUUUCGAUGGUAGGAUAGUGGCCUACCAUGGUGGCAACGGGUAACGGGGAAUUAGGGUUCGAUUCCGGAGAGGGAGCCUGAGAAACGGCUACCACAUCCAAGGAAGGCAGCAGGCGCGCAAAUUACCCAAUCCCGACACGGGGAGGUAGUGACAAUAAAUACUGAUACGGGGCUCUUUUGGGUCUCGUAAUUGGAAUGAGUACAAUCUAAAUCCCUUAACGAGGAACAAUUGGAGGGCAAGUCUGGUGCCAGCAGCCGCGGUAAUUCCAGCUCCAAUAGCGUAUAUUAAGGUUGUUGCAGUUAAAAAGCUCGUAGUUGAACCUUGGGUCUGGCUGGCCGGUCCGCCUCACCGCGAGUACUGGUCCGGCUGGACCUUUCCUUCUGGGGAAUCCCAUGGCCUUCACUGGCUGUGGGGGGAACCAGGACUUUUAC